UCUGUAGGUGGUUUAAUAAGUCAACUGUUAAAUCUUGAGGCUCAACCUCGAAAUCGCAGUCGAAACUAUUAGACUAGAGUAUAGUAGGGGUAAAGGGAAUUUCCAGUGGAGCGGUGAAAUGCGUAGAGAUUGGAAAGAACACCGAUGGCGAAGGCACUUUACUGGGCUAUUACUAACACUGAGAGACGAAAGCUAGGGUAGCAAAUG
rnacentral:rRNA from 1 species